rnacentral:rRNA from 2 species
GAUGAACGCUGGCGGCGUGCUUAACACAUGCAAGUCGAACGGGCUCUUCGGAGCUAGUGGCGGACGGGUGAGUAACGCGUGAGAAUCUGCCUACAGGACGGGGACAACAGUUGGAAACGACUGCUAAUACCCGAUGUGCCGAGAGGUGAAACAUUUAUGGCCUGUAGAUGAGCUCGCGUCUGAUUAGCUAGUUGGUGGGGUAAGGGCCUACCAAGGCGACGAUCAGUAGCUGGUCUGAGAGGAUGAUCAGCCACACUGGGACUGAGACACGGCCCAGACUCCUACGGGAGGCAGCAGUGGGGAAUUUUCCGCAAUGGGCGCAAGCCUGACGGAGCAACGCCGCGUGGGGGAGGAAGGUUUUUGGACUGUAAACCCCUUUUCUCAGGGAAGAAGAAAGUGACGGUACCUGAGGAAUAAGCCUCGGCUAAUUCCGUGCCAGCAGCCGCGGUAAUACGGGAGAGGCAAGCGUUAUCCGGAAUUAUUGGGCGUAAAGCGUCCGCAGGCGGUUAAUCAAGUCUGUUGUCAAAGCGUGGGGCUCAACCUCAUACAGGCAAUGGAAACUGAUUGACUAGAGUAUGGUAGGGGUAGCGGGAAUUCCAGGUGUAGCGGUGAAAUGCGUAGAUAUCUGGAAGAACACCAGCGGCGAAAGCGCGCUACUGGGCCAUAACUGACGCUCAUGGACGAAAGCUAGGGAGCGAAAGGGAUUAGAUACCCCUGUAGUCCUAGCCGUAAACGAUGAACACUAGGUGUUGCGUGAAUCGACCCGCGCAGUGCCGUAGCCAACGCGUUAAGUGUUCCGCCUGGGGAGUACGCACGCAAGUGUGAAACUCAAAGGAAUUGACGGGGGCCCGCACAAGCGGUGGAGUAUGUGGUUUAAUUCGAUGCAACGCGAAGAACCUUACCAGGGUUUGACAUCCCCCGAAUCUCUUGGAAACGAGAGAGUGCCUUCGGGAGCGGGGAGACAGGUGGUGCAUGGCUGUCGUCAGCUCGUGUCGUGAGAUGUUGGGUUAAGUCCCGCAACGAGCGCAACCCACGUUUUUAGUUGCCAUCAUUCAGUUGGGCACUCUAGAGAAACUGCCGGUGACAAACCGGAGGAAGGUGUGGACGACGUCAAGUCAUCAUGCCCCUUACAUCCUGGGCUACACACGUACUACAAUGCUCCGGACAGCGAGACGCGAAGCCGCGAGGUGAAGCAAAUCUCCCAAACCGGGGCUCAGUUCAGAUUGCAGGCUGCAACUCGCCUGCAUGAAGGCGGAAUCGCUAGUAAUCGCAGGUCAGCAUACUGCGGUGAAUACGUUCCCGGGCCUUGUACACACCGCCCGUCACACCAUGGAAGUUGGCCAUGCCCGAAGUCGUUACCCUAACCGUUCGCGGAGGGGGGCGCCGAAGGUAGGGCUGAUGACUGGGGUG